GACUCUGUAGUGAAGUUCAUGGUGAGUUGCAAGCUCAUUGAUGCGUAUUAAUUCUACGCCGGAGUCU
rnacentral:tRNA from 1 species